rnacentral:rRNA from 1 species
AACGAACGCUGGCGGCAUGCCUAACACAUGCAAGUCGAACGAGACCUUCGGGUCUAGUGGCGCACGGGUGCGUAACGCGUGGGAAUCUGCCCUUGGGUUCGGAAUAACAGUUAGAAAUGACUGCUAAUACCGAAUGAUGUCUUCGGACCAAAGAUUUAUCGCCCAAGGAUGAGCCCGCGUCGGAUUAGCUAGUUGGUGGGGUAAAAGCCUACCAAGGCGACGAUCUUUAGCUGGUCUGAGAGGAUGAUCAGCCACACUGGGACUGAGACACGGCCCAGACUCCUACGGGAGGCAGCAGUGGGGAAUAUUGGACAAUGGGCGAAAGCCUGAUCCAGCAAUGCCGCGUGAGUGAUGAAGGCCCUAGGGUUGUAAAGCUCUUUUACCAGGGAUGAUAAUGACAGUACCUGGAGAAUAAGCUCCGGCUAACUCCGUGCCAGCAGCCGCGGUAAU